AAGCUAUACUUGUCUCACUUUCAUCCACAGAUGUACCUCAGGCUAAGAGCAGCACACAUGGACAAGAUACUGUUCUCCAGAGGUGUAUCAGAGAGUGUCCUGGAGUUCUGAGGGUGACUGAAGUGGUCCAGCUCAUCAUCCACUCUCUCAGUGUCUCCAAACCUUUGGAGAAUGCCUCACAUCUGAGGCAUUCUGAAUUUGAAGGGGGGGCAGGAAAAAGGAACGCUGUUUUUAUGAUCAUCCAUUCAUUUGGUAUCAAGCACAUUUCACACAUGAGUU
rnacentral:lncRNA from 12 species